CAACUAUUAGUUUUAUAGGAAAAAUUUUACAACAAACCCAAAUUGACUUAUCAAUAUUUUAACCAACUAAUAACAAAAUCAACUAACUAAUUCAUUUGUUAAUUCCUAAAACACAUUAGAAAAUUAAUUCCUUUAGUGUGGUCUCAUCUGAAACUACUAUUGCUGAUUUGAAGAAACAAGUCGCCAAACUCAAGGAAGAGAAUACGGGACUUAAGAGUGAACUUGCUAGCGCUAAAGAGGAGAUCUCGGCGCUUUCGAAAGAUAGUUCUGUAUUUUCUGGGAAGGCCGAAGAGUUGGAGUUGGAUGUGAGAUAUCAAUCCGAUCAACUCCAAGAACUCAUCUUCUUUGGACCUUCCGAGUUUGCCUCUCUACCCCCUGACUACAUCACGGACAUCAUGACAUGGGUAGAGCAGCCUCCUGAAGAGCUCGAAAAGAACAAGGAUGCUUUGGAUAAGAUGAAGGACGAAGCUGCUAAAG
rnacentral:lncRNA from 1 species